UUCUAGCUUAUCAAGUCGCCUGCACUCCAACGCAACCCCAACAGCCUGCUGAAAUUUACCAUCCUGCAUACACUUAUCCAGCAUCCGCUCGACAAUCGCGACCAACCGGGGAUCUAAGGCAGUCUUUUCCGACUCAUUCGAUUCGGCCGCCUUCACGCUAAGCAAUAUAUACUCAUCCACACAUUUGGUCACGAGCGUCUGCACAUACUCCGUGUCCUCCGACACAUCGAACAGCGGUCCAGCCCCCAAAGCAUACGUGAGCGAGUCAUUGAGCUCUCCUAAGUAGUAGAACACCUUGGACGCCACCAACGCGGCCAACUGACGCUCGUAAAACGUAUCGUCCUCA
rnacentral:lncRNA from 1 species